AGCCUUAGGAAAUAGAUCUUAGGUUAAACCUGCCCAAUGUAUAAUAUUAAUGGCCGCGGUACUCUGACCGUGCUAAGGUAGCGCAAUCAAUUGGCUUUUAAUUGAAGCCAUGUAUGAAUGGAAUCACGGAGUUUAGCUGUCUCAUGACUAAUUUAUCGAAAUUACUAUGUAGGUGAAAAAGCCUACCAACCGAAAAAAGACGAGAAGACCCUUAGAGUUUUUCCUACACUAGAAUUUUUUUUCUAAAACAGUUUAGUUGGGGCAACACAGGAGCAGGAUAUUAACCUCCUAAGAAAUAUCUAGCGAUACUUAUAAACUUGAAUAAACUACCUUAGGGAUAACAGCAUAAUUUUAUAAAUAAGUUUGUGACCUCGAUGUUGGACUAGGAAACUAGAGGGCUAGCCGCCUUUUAGGGAAGUUCUGUUCGAACUAUUAUUCCUUCGU
rnacentral:rRNA from 1 species